AUUGCUUAUGUCCACUGUGGACUUGCAUCUGCAUGAAGAAUGGCCUUGUUUUCAAGAUCCUGAUAUCUACAGCUGCAUCUAUUAUAGAGCCUACAUUUCUUUCUUGACUGAUGCCUUCAAUCCUUUUGUCACUGCAACAGAGAAAUGCCACAUUAGUUUCACUAUAAUAACUGUGUGUUUUUUUGUUUGUUUCAAAAUUCAGUGCAGUUACACAAAUCCAGUAGUCUAUCCAUAGGCAUGUCUGGGGAUCAUUAGUGGCUUUGGCUACCAGAAGGACUGAGUGAUCCAUUACCUUGAAACCCUUACCCUCAUGUCUCCUUUUUUAUAUAAAUACUCAGCUGCAAGAUAUAUACAUUUUUAAUUGUAACAACCAAUCUUAUGGCUGUAGCUGCCGUCACCCUCUGUAGAGAAUGGACAUUAAAAAUGUGGUUCUGUGCCUCAGAAAGAAGAGCCCAAGAGUGGUGUCUGGGCUUCUGUGCACCUCCAAAAUAUACUCAUAAAAGUAAAUAAACCACCACCCUACCAGUGUCCCAAGAUUUGCAGGAAACUUAGUAAAUAGCCAUGGAUUGGUGGCAUUAGUGAGUCAUCCUGAUGGACAGAAGCAUGUUAAUCACCCGAGAAUGAUCAACUUGCCAUCUCUCAGAGAUGUUAAUUGGGUAGAGAACCCAUGGGGGAUUGAUCCUCUGGGCUCUGGUAGCUUGAAGUAUGUCUGCUUUAAAGAAUCUAGUUUCUCAAAGAUAGGUUAAUGACUGUUGGAACCAAAAAUGCAUGUAUGGGAGGGGGAGAUUAAAAUAUUUUAACAGAAAGGGAGUUCCCGUCGUCCUGGCUCAGUGGAAACGAAUCUAAUCUGACGAGGAACCAUGAGGUUUCCGGUUUAAUCCCUGGCCUCACGCAGUAAGUUAAGGAUCUGGCAUUGCCCUGAGCUGUGGUGUAGAUCACAGACAUGGCUCUGAUCUCACAUUGCUGUGGCUGUGGUGCAGACCAGAAGCUGUAGCUCCCAUUAGACUCCGAGCCUGGGAACCUCCAUAUGCCACAGGUAUGGCGCUAAAAAGACAAAAGAUGACCAAAAAAAACCCAAUUUUAACAGAAGGUAAAAUUCAUUGCCUUCAUUGGGCAGGUUGAAUCUCAGACCUUUGGAGGUUUUAAAAUAAGUGUCCUUGAAUUUUUGACUUAGUAUGCCUUCUCAGAGAAGUUAAUUAUGUCCCUGAGAAUAAAGAUUUGUCUCAUCAGAAACAAUGUCACACUCUUCAAAACAUUUAGUUGUUAUGUCAGUUAUAAUGGGAAAUAAAUGUUAUUGUAAGCUUCUGGUUAAAUUAGAGCCUAUCUUUUAAAUAAUUAAGCUUUCUGGAAUUGAAUUAUUACGAUAUUUUAUGUUAGCUAACGCAGAAUGUCAAAAGUACUGACUCAGAACUCGGGGUUCCAAUCUGGAAAGGCUUGUGUGUUAAAACCCGCUUGCUCAGAGGUGGAAAGGCAAGUUCACAGGCGGGUCUGGGGGAGGAGGGUGCCUGGGGCAGAGCCUAAGGCGUAAGCAGCACAGAGGAGGGCCUCCAUCUCUAAGGGGAGGCGCCGGGAAAGCCAAGCACAGAGGAGGAAAACGGGCUCUGAGGCUGGUCUGGAACAAACCAGAUCACACCGGCCUCCCUGUCUUCUGAAGCUACCAGGCUAAUCCCGAUUUUCCACCUCCCUUCAGUUCAAUAAAUGUGUGUCUGAAUCUCCAUGAGGUGCUUGGGAUGCAAAUAUCAAUUAAAUAUAGUUUUUUAACUCCUCAAUUUCUCAGUUGAGGAGUACAAACCUUAUAAGAUAUGUUUUGCUUUGGGUUUUUUUGGAGGUUUUUUUUUUUUUUUUUCCCACUUUCUUUUUUCUGGACUAGAAUUUUUGAAAUAUGCAGUCUUUGUGUAAGUAAUAGAAGCUUAUUGGGGAAUACUUUAUAAAAAUCCAGAAAAAAAUCUUUUUUUCUUUUGCAUUUAACUGCAAGGUUGUUGGGCAUUUUAUUGGCUGGAUUUCUUGAUAUUGUUGUGGUGGUGGUUGUUUUCCUUUUAUUCUUCCCUUAAUGAGGAAAGAUCUUUACAGUCUUGGUGUUCUAGGUCUAGGGAAAAAUAAGUCUCUGCUUGGAGUGAGAUUUUCUCAUUCAGAGACUGAGAUGGAGGCAGGCCAGGGACAUAGCCUGCAGGGAAAUUGUCAAUACCUGCCCAUUAAUUACCUGGUAGAUACAGCAGAAUCAAACCAUACCUGUGGUUAUAGGAAGGGUAUGUAUUAUGCAAGAUGUGGUCAGGAAGAUAAAAGCCAGUCCAGAUAUUUCAAGUGAGAAGGAUUUAAUGUAGGAAAUUAGCUACUUAUAAAACUUGUGGGAAUUCUGGGCCAAGGUGAGUUGGCAAUCAAGAAAUGUCGAAAUUCCAGGAAUUUGCAUACAUGAUCUCAAAAAUCCCACAGCCAGAAUGGCUGAUUCAUAGGAGCAGACACAGAAAGUUCUGUGAAUCCCACUUUUGCUUCUGCCAUUUCAUCUACCAGCCCCUGCAAGAUGAGAAUAAUGGCUUUCUUUCUUUUUUGUCUUGCAAUUUUAUGUGAGUGACUUUCAUUGAUGGACUCUAAGUUAGAUCGCAUGAAUCUGAGAAAAGUGCUUUCCAGACCUUUUGAGGUUUAUAUGCGUGUGUGUGUCUAUGGGUAUGAAUGUGUGUAUUAUCUUUGUUGUUGUCGAAGGGAGAGGGCCUGAAUACCAAGAGACAAUCUCUAGCAUAUAGUAAUAAUAUAAAUAAUAAAAUUAAUAUGUACUGGAGUUCCCGUUGUGGCUCAGUGGUUAAUGAAUCUGACUAGGAGCCUUGAGGUUGUGGGUUCAAUCCCUGGCCUUGCUCAGUGGGUUAAGGAUCCGGCAUUGCUGUGAGCUGUGGUGUAGGUGGCAGACACGGCUUGGAUCCUGCAUCGCUGUGGCUCUGGUGUAGGCCGGUGGCUACAGCUCCGAUUCGACCCCUAGCCUGGGAACCUCCAUAUUCCACAGGUGUGGUCUUAGAAAAG
rnacentral:lncRNA from 1 species